rnacentral:rRNA from 1 species
GAUGAACGCUGGCGGCGUGCCUAAUACAUGCAAGUCGAGCGAACGGACGAGAAGCUUGCUUCUCUGAUGUUAGCGGCGGACGGGUGAGUAACACGUGGAUAACCUACCUAUAAGACUGGGAUAACUUCGGGAAACCGUAGCUAAUACCGGAUAAUAUUUUGAACCGCAUGGUUCAAAAGUGAAAGACGGUCUUGCUGUCACUUAUAGAUGGAUCCGCGCUGCAUUAGCUAGUUGGUAAGGUAACGGCUUACCAAGGCAACGAUGCAUAGCCGACCUGAGAGGGUGAUCGGCCACACUGGAGCUGAGACACGGUCCAGACUCCUACGGGAGGCAGCAGUAGGGAAUCUUCCGCAAUGGGCGAAAGCCUGACGGAGCAACGCCGCGUGAGUGAUGAAGGUCUUCGGAUCGUAAAACUCUGUUAUUAGGGAAGAACAUAUGUGUAAGUAACUGUGCACAUCUUGACGGUACCUAAUCAGAAAGCCACGGCUAGCUACGUG